rnacentral:rRNA from 1 species
GACGAACGCUGGCGGCGUGCUUAACACAUGCAAGUCGAACGGUAAGGCCCUUCGGGGUACACGAGUGGCAAACGGGUGAGUAACACGUGGGUGAUCUGCCCUGCACUUCGGGAUAAGCCUGGGAAACUGGGUCUAAUACCGGAUAGGACCCUGGGAUGCAUGUCCUGGGGUGGAAAGCUUUUGCGGUGUGGGAUGGGCCCGCGGCCUAUCAGCUUGUUGGUGGGGUGAUGGCCUACCAGGGCGACGACGGGUAGCCGGCUUGGGAGGGGGACCGGCCACAAUGGGACUGAGAUACGGCCCAGACUCCUACGGGAGGCAGCAGUGGGGAAUAUUGCACAAUGGGCGCAAGCCUGAUGCAGCGACGCCGCGUGAGGGAUGACGGCCUUCGGGUUGUAAACCUCUUUCAGCACCGACGAAGCGCAAGUGACGGUAGGUGCAGAAGAAGGACCGGCCAACUACGUGCCAGCCGCCGCGGUAA